GAUGAAGAACGCAGCGAAAUGCGAUAAGUAAUGUGAAUUGCAGAUUUCCAGUGAAUCAUCGAAUCUUUGAACGCACAUUGCGCCCGCCAGUAUUCUGGCGGGCAUGCCUGUUCGAGCGUCAUUUCAACCCUCAAGCCCAGCUUGGUGUUGGGGAUCGGCACAGGCGCCCUCGGGCGCCCGCCGUCCCCUAAAUCUAGUGGCGGUCCCGCUGCAGCCUCCUCUGCGUAGUAGUUUUCUCCUCGCAAGGGCAGCUCGGUGGCGACCUCGCCGUAAAACCCCCAACUUCUGAAAGGUUGACCUCGAAUCAGGUAGGAAUACCCGCUGAACUUAAGCAUAUCAAUAAGCGGAGGA
rnacentral:misc_RNA from 1 species